rnacentral:lncRNA from 1 species
AUUCCGAGGUUGGAAAAAAAAUGAAAAUUUUUCCAAAAUUCCGAGGCUGGAAAAAAAAAAUGAAAAUUUUAUCAAAAUUCCGAGUUUGGAAAAAAAAUAUGAAAUUUUUUUCAAAAUUCCUAGGUUGGAAAAAGAAAAUGAAAAUUUUUUCAAAAUUCUCAGGUUGGAAAAAAAAAUGAAAAUUUUUUCAAAAUUCCAAGGUUGGAAAAAAAAAUGAAAAUUCUUUCCAAAUGCCGAGGUUGGAAAAAAAAAAUGAACAUUUUUUCAAAAUUCCGAGGUUGGAAAAAAAAAAUGAAAAUAUUUCCAAAAUCCCGAUGUUGGAAAAAAAAAUGAAAAUUUUUUCAAAAUUCCGACGUUGGAAAAAAAAAUGAAAAUUUAUUCAAAAUUCCGAGGUUGGAAAAAUAAAAUGAAAAUUUUUUCAAAAUUCCGAUGUUGGAAAAAAAAAAUGAAAAUUUUUUCAAAAUUCCGAGGUUGGAAAAAAAAAUGAAAAUUUAUUCAAAAUCCCGAGGUUGGAAAAAGAAAACGAAAAUUUUUUCAAAAUUCCGAGGUUGGAAAAAAAAUGAAAAUUUUUCCAAAAUUCCGAGGUUGGAAAAAAAAAAUGAAAAUUUUUCAAAAUUCGCGGUUGGAAAAAGAAAAUGAAAAUUUUUUCAAAAUUCCGAGGUUGGAAAAAAAAAUGAAAAUUUUUUCAAAAUUCCGAGGUUGGAAAAAAAAAUGAAAAUUGUUUCAAAAUUCCGAGGUUGGAAAAAAAAUGAAAAUUUUUUCAAAAUUC